UAGAGCAGUGCAAUAAUCUGGAGUCGGAUGCACUGGCCAGGUAAACAGGAAAAGCCCCAUAAACUUUUGAGUUUCAUUUCUUGUUCGCCCAGUGUGGAGAGAUCAUCAGCACAGGUGACCACGCAGAGCUCAUCAGGUAACAAUGCAGU